AUUGAACGCUGGCGGCAUGCUUUACACAUGCAAGUCGAACGGUAACAGGCCUUCGGGUGCUGACGAGUGGCGAACGGGUGAGUAAUGCAUCGGAACGUACCCAGAGGUGGGGGAUAACGCAGCGAGAGCUGUGCUAAUACCGCAUGUGAUCUGAGGAUGAAAGCGGGGGACCGAGCAGCAAUGUUUGGCCUCGCGCCUUUGGAGCGGCCGAUGUCGGAUUAGCUAGUUGGUGGGGUAAAGGCCUACCAAGGCGACGAUCCGUAGCUGGUCUGAGAGGACGACCAGCCACACUGGGACUGAGACACGGCCCAGACUCCUACGGGAGGCAGCAGUGGGGAAUUUUGGACAAUGGGCGCAAGCCUGAUCCAGCAAUGCCGCGUGCGGGAAGAAGGCCUUCGGGUUGUAAACCGCUUUUGGCAGGAACGAAACGGUGUCCGCUAAUACCGGGCGCUAAUGACGGUACCUGCAGAAUAAGCACCGGCUAACUACGUG
rnacentral:rRNA from 1 species